rfam:Salmo salar isolate Sally breed double haploid chromosome ssa10, whole genome shotgun sequence.
UCGAAGGCUCUUUUAAGAGCCACAUAAUAAAUGAAAAUAAAUGGGU